rnacentral:lncRNA from 1 species
GACAAUCCAAAUAGACCUUGAUGAGGACAUCACCUGCUCGGAUACAACCAUAUUGGCAACUUUUGAUUCAUAGGUGAAACGAUUCUUUAUCAUAAUUGUAUUUGAUCCAUUUGAUGAACUGAUGCUACACUAUGAUAUGUAUACAUUGUUAUUUUCAGAAAUACAUACGUCGAUCAACAAGAGUGUUAAAUAUACAUGAAAGGCAUAGAGAACCAAAGAAGUUGAUUGGGGGCUAAGUCUAAGUAUUCCCAACAUCCUCCACAAGACCACCACGUCACUUUUAGCCUAAGGAAAGAAACAGACCAAAUCCAACAUGCUUUGGGGCUGGAUUCAGACUGCAGCACUGCUCUAACUUGCAAUGGCCGCCACAACCUCCUCCGGAC